rnacentral:rRNA from 1 species
CUUAGCUUGCUAAGUUUGAUGGCGACCGGCGCACGGGUGAGUAACACGUAUCCCCCCUUCCGAUGACUCGGGGAUAGCCUUUCGAAAGAAAGAUUACUACCCGAUGGCAUAGUUCUUCCGCAUGGUAGAACUAUUAAAGAAUUUCGGUCAUCGAUGGGGAUGCGUUCCAUUAGGUUGUUGGCGGGGUAACGGCCCACCAAGCCUUCGAUGGAUAGGGGUUCUGAGAGGAAGGUCCCCCACAUUGGAACUGAGACACGGUCCAAACUCCUACGGGAGGCAGCAGUGAGGAAUAUUGGUCAAUGGACGAGAGUCUGAACCAGCCAAGUAGCGUGAAGGAUGACUGCCCUAUGGGUUGUAAACUUCUUUUAUACGGGAAUAAAGUGAGGCACGUGUGCCUUUUUGUAUGUACCGUAUGAAUAAGGAUCGGCUAACUCCGCGCCAGCAGCCGCGGUAAUACGGAGGAUCCGAGCGUUAUCCGGAUUUAUUGGGUUUAAAGGGAGCGUAGGCGGACGCUUAAGUCAGUUGUGAAAGUUUGCGGCUCAACCGUAAAAUUGCAGUUGAUACUGGGUGUCUUGAGUAUAGUAGAGGCAGGCGGAAUUCGUGGUGUAGCGGUGAAAUGCUUAGAUAUCACGAAGAACUCCGA